UACAGAGGGGGCAAGCGUUGUUCGGAAUUACUGGGCGUAAAGCGCGCGUAGGCGGCUUUGUAAGUUAGAGGUGAAAGCCCGGAGCUCAACUCCGGAACCGCCUUUAAGACUGCAUCGCUAGAAUUGUGGAGAGGUAAGUGGAAUUCCGAGUGUAGAGGUGAAAUUCGUAGAUAUUCGGAAGAGCACCAGUGGCGAAGGCGACUUACUGGACACAUAUUGACGCUGAGGUGCGAAAGCGUGGGGAGCAAACAGG
rnacentral:rRNA from 1 species